CUCCCUCAGCCUUACUCCGGGGGCUUCUGCUGUGGAGUGCCCUGGCAUUGCCUGGGGGGACACGAGGAAGCGCAGAUCCCUCCCCAGGGAUCCUUAGCUUAAAGCCGUGCUCCUGUGGGGCCUACCAACUGCGCUGACACA